rnacentral:lncRNA from 1 species
AAUUAAAAAAAUUUAAAUAUCCUUACAAUAAUCUUUUAAACAAUUCUCGUAUAAGAUUAUCCACUCUAUACCCAUAAAUCAACUAAAAAAACCCCAAAAUUAGAUUCCGAAAAGAAAAAAAUACACAAAUUGUUCUAAGGCUUCCUUUGAUAUUGUAGAGAGAUUGUGUUAUAUGCCAUGAGAAAGUACGUUGAAAAAAUAUUCUAUUUGUUUUCAUACGUAAUAUUGCGUUCCACACAUCACGAUGAGUCGGUUACGUUAUAUUUUCUACGGUCCCAUCGGAAAACACAGAAAUAUAUCUCUAUAUACUUUUACCUGAACUCCAUUUUAUCUAAUAACGUUAGAUGAGCCUCACUACCAAACUAAACCUAAAUAGCGCCGUCUCUAGGAUAUUCUUUACGAAAAUAAAUUCUAUUAAUUAAAGUGUCCACUCCCAGUCACACAUUCAAAAUUUGAUCUUAAUUUUAUACAGCAAGUAGUUGUGUGUGUGACUCCAUUAAUUCCCCUGCAUGCGACGUGGCCGGGGAAAGAGAAUUUUUACGUGAAACUAUCACGGGUGGAAAAACACACGUAUAUAUGUUCUUGAAUCUCAAAUACAUUUUAUGAAUACUAGUUGGGUGUACGUACAAAUACACAUAAUAAUUAUUUUAAUUUAUUUUAAAUUAAUAUAAAAUUGCACAUUAUAUUUAUUUAAAAAUUUAUAAUUUGUAAAUUCAUAUAUUAUAUUUUAUUAGAAAAUAUUUGUAAUAUUCUAUAUUUUUUUAUAUAUAUUAAAUAUUUUUAUAUAUUUUUUGAUUUCUGAUGAUCUAAAAUUUAAAUAUGUGUUUUAAACAAAAAACAUCAAAAAUUAAUUCAUAUUUAUUUCAAAAUUUAAAAUUUAAUUUUCAUCCACUAUAAUUUAAAUUUUUGAAUAAGAAUGCUAUUUUUUACCAAAUUAAUCAUAAUUGUUCGUUUUUAUUUAAGAUUUUUUUAAUUAAGUCAACAGUUCAUUUUUAUUUGACACGACCUUUCGUAGGAUUGGAUUUAUAGAUGGAUAAGAAUUCUAUUUUUUAAUAGAUUAAUCAUAACCGUUCAUUCUUAUUNACUUUAGUACCCUUUAGUUUUAACUUUAUUACUAAUUUAACGAAAAAAAUUAGUGGAAUCGAUAAUAAAAAGAGAAAAUGCGAAACCACAGAAAUAAUAUUUGAAGUUUACCCUGAACCAUUUAAAAAUGUGUUAUAUAUAUAUAUAUAUAUACUAGUUGAAUGUACGUGCAAAUGCACGUAACAAUUAUUAUAAUUUAUUUCAAAUCAAUAUAAAUUGUUACAUGAUCAAAUUUUAAUUUUAAUGUAAAAUAGAUUAAUAGAAAUGUCAUUUUUUAACAAAUUGAUCUUAACCGUUUGUUUUAAUUUGAGAUAUUUUUUAAUAAAUUAAUUAUAAUUGUUCAUAGAAUUGAAUUUAUAGAUGGAUGCCAAUGCUAUUUUUUAAUAGAUUGAUUAUAACUAUUCUUAUUUGAGAUAUUUUUUUAACAAAUUGAUCAUAACCAUUUAUAGAGAAUAGAUUUUUAUAUGUAGUAGAAAUUUAAUAGAUUGAACAUAACCGUUCGUUUUUAUUUGACAUAUUUUUUAACAAAUUAAUUAUAACCAUUCGUAGGGAAUAUUAUUUUAUAUUUAAUAGAUUGAUCAUAACCAUUAAUUUUAUUUGAGAUAUUUUUAACAAAUUUUUAUUUGAGAUAUUUUUAACAAAUUAAUGAUAACCAUUCGUAGGAAAUAUUAUUUUAUAUUUAAUAGAUUGAUUAUAGCUGUUAAUUUUUAUUUGAGAUAUUUUUAAUAAAUUAAUUAUAACCAUUCGUAGGGAAUAUUAUUUUAUUCCUUUUUGAAUUCCGCCUGUCAUUGUCGGAAUUCUUAUACGCUUUUAUAUAUAGUAUAGAUAUAGAUAUAGAUAUAGAUAUAAAUAUAGAUAAUUUGAAACUUUGUUCCUUUAUGAAUAUACUAUCUCAAUUCAAAAUUUCAUCACUU